UACGUAGGGGGGCAAGCGUUGUCCGGAAUCAUUGGGCGUAAAGCGCGCGUAGGCGGCCCGGUAAGUCCGCUCUGAAAGUCCAGGGCUCAACCCUGGAAAGCGGGUGGAUACUGCCGGGGCUAGAAUCCGGGAAGAGGCGAGUGGAAUUCCCGGUGUAGCGGUGAAAUGCGCAGAUAUCGGGAGGAACACCUAUGGCGAAGGCAGUUCUCUGGGCCGUAACUGACGCUGAGGAGCGAAAGCGUGGGGAGCGAACAGG
rnacentral:rRNA from 1 species